rnacentral:rRNA from 1 species
CAAUAGCGUAUAUUAAUGUUGUUGCUGUUAAAAAGCUCGUAGUUGGAUUUCUGCCGAGGACGACUGGUCCGCCCUCUGGGUGAGUAUCUAGCUCGGCCUGGGCAUCUUCUUGGAGAACGUAGCUGCACUUGAGUGUGUGGUGCGGUAUCCAGGACUUUUACGUUGAGGAAAUUAGAGUGUUUCAAGCAGGCACACGCCUUGAAUACAUUAGCAUGGAAUAAUAAGAUAGGACCUCGGUCCAAUUUUGUUGGUUUCUAGAGCUGAGGUAAUGAUUGAUAAGGAUAAUUGGGGGCAUUCGUAUUUAACUGUCAGAGGUGAAAUUCUUGGAUUUGUUAAAGACGGACUACUGCGGAAGCAUUUGCCAAGGAUGUUUUCAGUGAUCAAGAACGAAAGUUAGGGGAUCGAAGAUGAUUAGAUACCGU